rnacentral:rRNA from 1 species
CCUACGGGUGGCAGCAGUGGGGAAUAUUGCACAAUGGGGGAAACCCUGAUGCAGCGACGCCGCGUGAGUGAAGAAGUAUUUCGGUAUGUAAAGCUCUAUCUGCAGGGAAGAAAAUGACAGUACCUGAUUAAGAAGCUCUGGCUAACUACGUGCCAGCAGCCGCGGUACUACGGAGGGGGCAACCGUUAUCCGGAUUGACCGGGUGUAAUGGGAGCGUAGACGGCAGCACAAGUCUGGAGUGAAAUGCCGGGGCUGAACCCUGGAACUGCAUUGGAACCUGUGCAGCUAGAGGGCGGGAGAGGUAAGUGGAAUUCGUAGUGUAGCGGUGAAAUGCGUAGAUAUCAGGAGGAACACCGGUGGCGAAGGCAGCUUACUGGACUGUAACUGACGUUGAGGCUCGAAAGCGUGGAGAGCAAACAGGAUUAGAUACCCGAGUAGUC